rnacentral:rRNA from 1 species
GAUGAACGCUGGCGGCGUGCCUAAUACAUGCAAGUCGAGCGAACGGACGAGAAGCUUGCUUCUCUGAUGUUAGCGGCGGACGGGUGAGUAACACGUGGAUAACCUACCUAUAAGACUGGGAUAACUUCGGGAAACCGUAGCUAAUACCGGAUAAUAUUUUGAACCGCAUGGUUCAAAAGUGAAAGACGGUCUUGCUGUCACUUAUAGAUGGAUCCGCGCUGCAUUAGCUAGUUGGUAAGGUAACGGCUUACCAAGGCAACGAUGCAUAGCCGACCUGAGAGGGUGAUCGGCCACACUGGAACUGAGACACGGUCCAGACUCCUACGGGAGGCAGCAGUAGGGAAUCUUCCGCAAUGGGCGAAAGCCUGACGGAGCAACGCCGCGUGAGUGAUGAAGGUCUUCGGAUCGUAAAACUCUGUUAUUAGGGAAGAACAUAUGUGUAAGUAACUGUGCACAUCUUGACGGUACCUAAUCAGAAAACCACGGCUGACUACGU